AAUAUUGCACAAUGGAGGGAACUCUGAUGCAGCAACGCCGCGUGAGUGAAGAAGGUUUUCGGAUCNUAAAACUCUGUCAUUGGGGANAAAUAAAUGACGGUACCAUAGGAGGAAGCCCCGGCUAACUACGUGCCAGCAGCCGCGGUAAUACGUAGGGGGCGAGCGUUGUCCGGAAUUAUUGGGCGUAAAGGGUGCGUAGGCGGCUUCUUAAGUCAGAUGUGAAAGACCACAGCUUAACUGUGGGGUUGCACUUGAAACUGGUAGGCUUGAGUGCAGGAGAGGAAAGUGGAAUUCCCAGUGUAGCGGUGAAAUGCGUAGAUAUUGGGAGGAACACCAGUGGCGAAGGCGACUUUCUGGCCUGUAACUGACGCUGAGGAGCGAAAGCGUGGGUAGCGAACA
rnacentral:rRNA from 1 species